AUUGAACGCUGGCGGCAGGCCUAACACAUGCAAGUCGAACGAGUGGCGGACGGGUGAGUAAUGUCUGGGAAACUGCCCGAUGGAGGGGGAUAACUACUGGACACGGUAGCUAAUACCGCAUACCAUCGGAUGUGCCCAGAUGGGAUUAGCUUGUAGGGGAGGUAACGGCUCACCUAGGCGACGAUCCCUAGCUGGUCUGAGAGGAUGACACGCCAUACUGGAACGGAGACACGUCCCGGACUCCUACGGGAGGCAGAAGUGGGGAAUAUUGCACAAUGGGCGCAAGCCUGAUGCAGCCAUGCGGCGUGUAUGAAGAAGGCCUGCGGGUUGUAAAGUACUUUCAGCGGGGAGGCGUUACCCGCAGAAGAAGCACCGGCUAACUCCGUGCCAGCAGCCGCGGUAAUAC
rnacentral:rRNA from 1 species